CCAAUUUGGUCCCUAUUUUAACGAAUGUUUAACGGCAUAAUAAACGGAGGACCAAAUUGGUUAAAAUUUUCAAAGUCGAGGGACUUAAUUGGGUACGAAAAAUUGUCGAUGACCAAAUUGGUAAUUUUGCAAUAGUCGAGGGACCAUUUCGAUAAUAAACUCACAAUUUGAUUAUAACUGAUUUUCAGUUUGUGUUAUGAAGAUAUAUAGUCACUAGUACAAAAAAAACACAUAAAACACCCACAUUUAGCUACCGUUCUUAUAAGAACAGUAGUGUAUUCUUAAAAAAAAACGCGCGGUGGCAAUUUUGUAAAUAAGUGAAGAACAUUUCGCUACUGUUGUUUAAAGAAACGGAUGCGAAUUUUAAAAAAAAAAAAGCGAAAUACAUAUACAUUUCGCUACCGUUUCUACGUGAAACGGUAGCAAUGUAAUUAUUAAAAAAAAAAAGAAAAAUUAAACCAAAUUUGACUUCGAACAAAACACGGCCACUGCAUCGUAUCCGCCUCCGCACCAUUCGAACACCGCACGCAGCGCAUCCACGGCCUCCGCACCAACACCACUGCCUCCGCCUCCACGGCCACCGCAUCCACCGCCACCGCAUCCACCGCCACCGCCACGGACUUCGAACAAAUUCGCAACCCUACCGCCGCCGCUUCACCAUCCCAAACACCGCCACCGUCGCAGCCUCCACGGCCACCGCGUACGCACCAGCCACCUCCGCCUCCCCCUCAACGCCGCCUCCGCACCAGCCUCCAGAUCUGCAGGACCAUAGCCCCAACACUUUGAUUGCGGACUGCAGAGGCUUACUUGGACAUUUCCAGAACGCCGAAGUGACGCAUGUGUAUCGUGAGGGCAACCAGUGUGCGGACUUCUUAGCUAACUUGGCCCAAGGCGCGCACUGGGGAACUUCACUUUUGGAUUCCCCACUGGAUGGGAUACUCAACCUGCUGCACCGUGAUUCCCAAGGUGUAACUACUGGCAGAUUACACUAAUACCCGGAGCCUUUCGACUCCUUAUUCCUACCAAAAAAAGGGAGAACUUUUGUAGAAAAUGUAAUAUUACUUUUGUAAUGAUUAAAUUAUUUAUACUAAUGAAUUAUGUAUGAAGAAUCAAUGAUAAGGGUUUUAAGUUAUUUAUGAAA